GACAGAGGGUGCAAACGUUGUUCGGAAUUACUGGGCGUAAAGCGCGUGUAGGCGGCUAAGUAAGUCGGGCGUGAAAUCCCACGGCUCAACCGUGGAAGUGCACUCGAAACUGCAUAGCUAGAGUCCUGGAGAGGAAGGUGGAAUGCUUGGUGUAGAGGUGAAAUUCGUAGAUAUCAAGCGGAACACCGGUGGCGAAGGCGGCCUUCUGGACAGUGACUGACGCUGAGACG
rnacentral:rRNA from 1 species